AUGUGGAAGUGGGAUACACACCAGUGUAGUAAUGAAAUUAAAUGAUGCUGCAGACUGCAUUUGAGCCUAAGCAGCCAUUUAGAAUUUUUCUACAAUGAUAUAUCAUAAUCCAGGCACCAUGUAUAAUCCACAAUUGUCAAAGGGAUUAUUGUGCAGUUAUGCAAGGAGCAAUCACUGCCGGCUCAUCUCCAAUCCCAGGAGCUGCGCCUGCAAAUGCCUGUAAUCCUUUCCCAUGCUAUAAUGAAGUGCAUGCCUCAAGCACUUACCAACACUCACACCUAGGUAUCAAGUACUUUGCGAGAGAAGAAAAGAAAUAAACCGAGAGCAUCUAUAAACAGAGGGUCUGAAUAAAUGGAAUGUGUCGGAGCGGUGUAACGGGAAUCCUCACUAAUUGGCCCAUAAAGCAGGGUCUGCCACUUUGCUGAGGAUUUCAAAGAGGCUCCGAGAGGGAAAAACAACCUCUGACAAGAUGCUAAAAUUCGUGAUUGAGUUUUUAGUGUUCUCCUGUGUGGCAGCCAUCGAUGGAAAUUGCUAUCACACCAAGAGAAGGAUCUAAACAGCUUCCAUAUGUGUCCGCUUUAUGUUGAGGAGAAGCUUCCUAGCAUGGGCCAUUAAUCAUAUGGACCAAGGAAGAUAUCUUCCCCAGGGAAAUCCUACAUCUGGAAAAAAGCGCAGUUGGUUUCUGGGGGGUGUCUGCAGGAAAAACACUUGGACUUUCUACUGACACAUGGAAGCAGCUGUGGAAAAGUGCAUUCAAAGAAUCUGGCAAGGCCUGCAGGGAGUCUGAGAAUGAGAAGGACGUUUUUAGCCCUUGAACCUUUUAGUCAGUGGUAUUUUAAAGAGAUGCUAUCAACCCACCAUGAUUUGAAAGGAGUCUCCUGGAUGCAUAAACCAGCCUUGGGCAGAACCAUGGCAGUGGUUAUGGACUAAUUGGGCAUAGUCUGGUCAUAAUGGGUUAAGAUUCAUUGCUGGGAAGUUCUAAGGGUUGUGGUCAAAAACCUACUGGAUAUCACCUUCAAUAGGUUGACAUCUCUGCUGUCACAAGCGCACGUCCAAAAUACAAAAUGGAUGCAAAAUUAAGCAUGCACUGAUGCAAGGUACCUAUAUCCAUAUGUGCAGCUAAGCACUAAUGCACCCACCCAGACCUCUCUACUCACUUGCAAUUACCCUGCAACCUUGAACCUGGGGUUAACCCUAGAAGGGAAUUCCCUUAGCAGUUUGCCCCCAUUGCCAAGUGGAUCAGGCACUAAUACCUAAUUUGCACACAAAUGGAGUUGGAGAAAUGUGUGCUGAAACUUGCCCACUUAUGUGUUACCUUGCCCACUUGUGUGUUACUUUCUAUGUCUGCUUGUGUGUUGGAAUUGUGAGAAAAAAAACAUUGUGUUCAACAAAAACAAAUCCAAAUAUUGCACUGUACAGCAUCAUAGUAUGAACAUAAGUGUGCAGAGAUCUGUUUAACAAUGGUUCAGAACUGCUGUAGGUGCAAUUAUGUAGCAGAUAAACCAAAUAACUACAGUAAAGAUAACAGAUUUACAGUGCCCUAUAAUAAACAGCACUUUGCAUAACAAACCAUGGAUUUAAAUGAAUAAACAAGGGUUACAUGAAAGAACUCACAAGAGCUAACAAUCUAAAAAAUAAAUGAAUAACAUUCA